AAGUUGUCCGUUUCACCGACCAGUUGGGACGUGUUCCUCUGAUCAAUCGGCCGCAAAAUUUUGUUUUUGUGUGGAGUUUUUAAUUAUUUUCAACUAAAAUUGUGUGUCAAUGACAAAAGCCAAGAGAAAAUUUGCCAUCACCGAUAAAUUUCUUCCUAGACUCGCUAAAAACCUGUGCACCAGGAAGGGUAGUCGUCGAGCAAACACCGGCAACCGUCUGGAACACUCAGUACUCACUCAUAUCCAGCACGUCCCUUAGAUCACUUGCCUGUACUCUGCUUCCCGCACCCCCAUCCAUUUUUCCCGGCGCACCUAUUCCGUGUUAGCUAUCAUGGCCAGAGGUGAUGAAUGCAAGACCGCCACUAAGGCUAACUAUGUCUGCAAGCACCUUGACGUCGCAAGUCCCCUCAAAAAACCUGUGACCGCACCAGCCACAUCUUCGUACACGGCGAAGAAACCUGAACCUAAAAACUACGGAGCCUGGGGCCCAAUUUUCAAGGACAAGAAGACCUUCACUGACAUGCACCUCUGCUGAACCACCCAUCGCCCAUUGCCGACGAUGCGCCGGUCCAUUGCUUUGCUUCAUCAUCAUCGUCACAAACUUCAUUAGUUGAUAGAAUGAGUAUGUGUCUCAUGCACAACAUAGAAAGAAAUUUGAAUCUAAUAUCUAAUUGUAAAUCUUAAGUAUUAUAAAUUGGUUAUUAUAAUGAUAGGCUGAGUAGAUACUACCAUAUCAUAAGAUUAUGGCUUUUGCUUCCUGGAUCUUUGACAUUGUUUGUUUUUAUUUGAUUUUAAAUUCGGGAUUUCAUCGUGUAUAAAAGCAUAUUUGCAUUUUUAUUAUUGUCCAUGUCCCUUCGAGACCACCGACGUUGCAAUAUAUGUAUGUUUUUUUAUGUGUUUUUAUAUUCAAUAGAUUUUAUACACGUUUAACGUAAGUGAAAGUUUAAACCACUGUCUUGUUUGUUUUGUUCGGAUAUUGAAUAUUAAUUUCUAUAAAUAUGGUAAUUAUCCAUGUCCCUACAUUACUUUGUUGAUUUCAUUACCAGAUUGUUAAUAAUAUUAUCUUGAGCCAAUAUAUUUGAUCGAAGACACUGGGACACUAAAUAAAAUUUGGUGUUAGGUUUUAUUGUUGUGGGAAUAUUGUGUAAAUUUUAAUCGUAAUUGGAAACUAAUUGAUCA